GGUCCCGUAGCUCAGUUGGUUAGAGCGUGGUGCUAAUAUGUGACGCCAAGGCCGCGAGUUCGACCCUCGUCGGGACCA